rnacentral:lncRNA from 1 species
UCACUCUAUAUGCAUGUAUCUUUCUCGGUCCCGGUCCCCUUUUUGCUAUUAGUUCAUCCAUGUCAUGAUCACUAAGGUUAUUCUUGGUUUUGUAGUUGUGGAUUGCUAUGGAGAAUGAAUGCCCUGAUUAAUUAGUAUUUAGAUGUAUUAUCCCAGACCUCAGAUGGAUUAGUUUUGAGGUACUUUUUUGAGUUAGAGAUUUUUCAAUCCAUGCAUAUGUUAACAUUUAGAUGAAAUGAUACAUAUUUUUGCAUCUUAUGUUGUAUAUUUGAGAUGCUGGAACUAAGAGAGCACUUCAAUGUCGCUGCUAAUGUUGGGUGCUACUUUGG